rnacentral:rRNA from 1 species
UACGAAGGGGGCUAGCGUUGUUCGGAAUUACUGGGCGUAAAGCGCACGUAGGCGGAUAUUUAAGUCAGGGGUGAAAUCCCAGAGCUCAACUCUGGAACUGCCUUUGAUACUGGGUAUCUUGAGUAUGGAAGAGGUAAGUGGAAUUGCGAGUGUAGAGGUGAAAUUCGUAGAUAUUCGCAAGAACACCAGUGGCGAAGGCGACUACCUGGCCUGUUCUUGAUGCUGAGGCGCGAAAGCUAGGGGAGCAAACGGG